GUCUUCUUGGCUCCCAUAAGAAGUCUAAUCUGCCCGGUGACUAUGUUUAACGGCCGCAGUAUCUUGACUGUGCAAAGGUAGCAUAAUAAUUUGCCCUGUAAUUGAGGGCUGGUAUGAAAGAUUGAAUGGAGUGUGACUGUCUCUUUAUAAUUUUAUAAAAUUUAGUUUUUAUGUGAAGAACCAUAAAUACUAUUAAGUGACAAGAAGACCCUAUCGAGCUUUAGGGUUAUAGGUUAUUUUAAUUUUAAGUCUUUUGAUUGGGGCAAUCCAAAAACAAAUAAAGUUUUUUGUGAGAGUAUAGAUCCAAUAUGAUUGAUUUUUAGAUUUAGUUACCGUAGGGAUAACAGCAUAAUUUUUUUUAAGAGUUCUAAUCGAAAAAAAAGUUUGUGACCUCGAUGUUGGAUUAAAAUACCUAUAAAUGUAGCAG
rnacentral:rRNA from 1 species